AAUGAGUGGAGGUCAGAGGAGCCUCUUGAAGAAGAUACAGGUCUGUGAGACAGAAAUAUUGCUUGUUUGUGGCUGACCAAAUACUUAUUUUCCACCAUACUUUACAAAUAAAUUCUUUAAAAAUCCUACAAUGUGAUUUUCUGGAUUUUUUUUUCUCAUUUUUUUCUCUCAUAGUUGAAGUGUACCUAUGUUGAAAA